GGGCUCGUGGUCUAGCGGCUAUUUUCCCCGUUCGGGAAAAACGCAAAUGACGCAACCUUCACAUGGUUGAGGCCGGCGGUUCAAAUCCGCCCGGGCCCA
rnacentral:tRNA from 1 species